UGCUUGAUUCCUUAUUAGUUUAUCUUAUUCUAAAUCUUUAGGAUUAAGGUUGAUGAUUUUUGUUUUGCCUUUUAUUUGUUUUGAAAGAUCAUUUUUAGUAUUUUCAGUAUAAAACUACUUUAUUUUUCAUAAAAUAAUAAAUUUUCAGCAUUCAGCAAACUCAUACGAAUGCAUAGAAAGUAGACUUGCUUUGGGGCACCUGGGCGGCUCAGUCAGUUGAACAUCUGACUUCAGCUAGGUCGUGAACUUGCAGUUCAUGAGUUCGAGCCAGAGCCUGGAGCCUGCUUUGGAUUCUGUGUCUCCCUGUCUGUUCUUCCUCUGCUCACACUCUGUCUCUCUCUCUCAAAAAUAAAUGAAGAUUAAAAAUUUUUUUUUAAAAAGUAGACUUGCUUUGAAAUUACCUGAAUCUGAAAACUUGAGUACAUUUGUAUUGUAAACCUUUCUAACUUUAAGUGUAAAGUAUUGAAGGACACACCUGAUAUUUUUCGCAUGGAUGUAUAUCCUUGUAAAGUCAGGUCUAGAAAAAGUUAAUGGCUAAAAAACACAUGCCCUCAAGGCAAAGAAUAAUUAGCCAGUUCCUGAAUUAUUUUGAACCUUAGUUCAAAGCUUUUCUUUUCUUAGAUUACUGCUAUUACUAAAUAUGCUGUUUUGUAGAUUAUAACAAUCUUUUGAAGGUCCAAACACCAAUAAUUACCAGUGAGUGGCCUGUGAAUGAUGAAUUAUAUUUCAUUAGCUAUUCAAUAAUUCUUUUUUGAAAAGUUAAAGGGAUAAUUUGUGAAGUGGCUAAGAAGUCACUUAGUGGCUAAUAGAAAAUCAGAAUUGAGAACUAUAGAAGGUAUCUAAUUGCAGAAUAGAGCAGAGGCAUAUAGCCCUUACUGUGUGAUGGGUGUUUUACGUACUUUGACUCCUUUUAAACUCACAGAAAUUUAUGUGUUAGAAUAUUGAGGUUUAGGAAAGUUUGAGUUACACAAACGGAAGCAGAGCUAGGAUGCGCCCCCAGAUACAUUCUUUAUGUAAGAAUCCUGAUAAAUUCCUCUAGCCAUUUGGGCACUUCAGUAAUGGGGGAAACACCAACUCCUGAAGCAGCCCAUUCUGUUGCCUGUUAUCUAUAAUUGUUAUGUUGAGUCAGAAUCUGUUUCCCUUUGAAUUGUUUCCUUAAAUUCCAGUUAAGACUUUUGGGGCCAAACUCAAGACAAAGCUGAUCCUUUUCCAUAUAACAGGCACAUUUUUAAAUAUUCAACAUAUAUUACUUUUAUAAUCAGAAAAAUAACAAUACAUACUAUUUUUUUUAAAAAUUAGCUUUGGGACCAAGGAUAAACAUAGAUACUUAUGAGCCAAAUGUUUAUUAUGGAAGGUUUUAAGUAACUAAGCUUGUUUAAAGUGUCCCAUACAUAAUAGCUGAUUAUAAUAAUUUUUCCAUGUAAUUAUCCAAAGCAAGCCUUUGCUAAAAACAAAACUGUGUAUUCAGAUACUUAGAAGUAGAAGGUAAAUAGAGACUGUUGUACUGCACACACUUACAAAUAAUUUAUAGAGGAGGGAUUAUUUACCUCAUUGUUCAAGUCUUAGGUGCAGUUACCAGUCUCCUUUUUUCAAACAUCUACAAGUUGAUGAAUUAGUUUUCCAUUGAAACAAUUUUCUCUGCGGUAUUUGGGGAUACAAAUCAGCCCAGGCAAACCUAUUAAGUUGAUAAAGUACCUAAAAGUUUAGUCUUUAUUUGCAAUAACAAAUAGAAAAUGUGGCACAAAAUAGUAAAAUAGAAAAAAUUAAGUUGAACCAGAAGUAGUAUGAUAUGAUCACUGUAAUUAAACAUUAGUGCUUAAGGAUGAAAAGUUUUCUGGAGGGUUCCUGUUUACUCUGUCAGUUUUUAGUUUUGGCUUUAUUCUGCUUCAGUGCUGUUUUUCAGGAAUGGUAGUUGGGAGAGGAGCAAGAAUUAGCUGCAGUACUGAAGGGUAAUGAAAGAUACCUUUGGGAGGGGCUGCCAUCUCUACCUGCAGGGACUGUUGAGGCAAUUAUAGAGGCCCAUUCCAUAGGAACCUAUAGUCAAUGCUGGGAAACAAGAUUCUGACUAGGAAAUAGGAAUAUUUCUUGUCCCACGCAUGCUUCUCCCACCUCCCCACCCCAGCUUUCUCACUGUUUAAUAUAUUUCACAAGACUCAUUGUACUUCAUAGCCUUCAAAAUAACCAUAUAAUAAUAAUAAUUUUAUUAAACCUCACUUAUAAUAUUGUUCAUAAGUCAAGUAUCUUAUGUUAGAGACUACUUGCACACUUUUGAAGGCUGUUGUGAAUCUCUAUUGAAACAGGAGAAAUGUACUUACUAGCUUUAGCCCUUGCAAAUCACGAGACCAAAGAUACUGAGCUGUUUUUUGUUUUGUUUUUUAAUGUUUAUUCGUUUUUGAGAGAGACACACACAGAGCAUGAGCAGGGGAGGGGCAGAGAGAGGGAGACACAGAAUCGGAAGCAGGCUCCAGGCUCUGAGCUGUCAGCUCAGAACCCCACAUGGGGCUUGAACUCACAAACUGUGAGAUCAUGACCUGAGCUGAGGUCAGACACUUAACCAACUGAGCCACUCAGGCAUCCCAGAUACUGAGCUGUUUCUUGAAGUUCAUAUAUCUCCCAAGCCACUUUCAAUGUGAUAUUAAAUUCUAUUUAUUACUACUUAUAUUGUAUACAAAGAUGCUAAGUAGAUCUAACUUCUGUCCCCUGGCAGCAGCAUUCUCUUUUUUCCCUCUUUCACCUUUUUACUGUGAGCUAUAAAUGGGACCCCAGGAUUCUGAGUCAUUUGAUAAUAUUUUUCUUUAUAAAAAGGAAUCUAAGUGACUUAUUUAGUGGUGUUUGCUUAUUCGUACUGCUUGUUAAAGGUUAAUUUUUUUAAAAAAUGGGGCAGGGGGAGCUGCCUGGCUGGCUCAGUCGGUUAAGCAUCUGACAUCGGCUCAGGUCAUGAUCUCACGGUUCAUGGGUUUGAGCCCCGCAUCGGGCUGUGUGCUGACACCUCAGAGCCUGGAGCCUGCUUUGGAUUCUGUGUCUGUCUCUGUGUCCCUCCUCGGCUCACGUUCUCUGUCUCUCUCUCUC